CUUUUUGUUGAUAUUCCGGAAAAUGCAACUAUUGGUUCUUUAAAGAGGACUGUAAUGGAAGCAGUGACUGCUAUACUUGGUGGUGGACUACGAAUCGGUGUGGUUUUUCAGGGUAAGAAGGUUAGAGAUGAUAACAAAACCUUGUUACAGACUGGAAUAUCUCACGAUUACAAGCUUGACGCUCUGGGCUUCUCACUUGAGCCCAAUCCCGUUCAAACUUCCCAACCUCUUGGUCAAGACUGUCGUUCUUGUGUACUUCCUUAUGAAACACCUCAACCGCUAACAAGGUGCCCAUCUCCUUCUACUGUGAUUCAUACUGGCAUUCAUCAAGGGAGAUCUGAUGAUCAUACAGGAACAAGUUUGAGUACCUUUCUUGAAAGUGACCAUGAAUCGGCUCCAUCUCCUCAUUAUGCGGCUCUAGAGAAAAUUUCUGCAAAUUCAAGAGCAUUGGUUCCACUAACUGCAGUAAAUGCAGAAG
rnacentral:misc_RNA from 1 species